rnacentral:lncRNA from 1 species
GGCAAAACUUUGAGCGCGGUUUUUUCAAACGAAAAGCAUAUUCCCCAUACACUCGGACAUAGAUCACUCGGAUUCCAUGUCUCGAGUUUCCUGGCACGAAGAUUAUACUAAACAAAAACUUGAAAGCAGCAACGCUCUUGGUUCCUCUUCAACAAAACCCCGUGAUGCGGGAUCCAACCUCAUCACCACCAGUUCGUCGAUCUUUCAAACUCAUAGAUCGCCUCCAGAAAACGAGAGUAGAACGUCAGUGCAUGAACACUCGAAACUGAGACGUCUUUCUCGAGUUUCCUGGCGCAGGCAUCUGUCGAAUAUGAUCCUAAGCACUAGCUCGCGUAGAACACGCACCUCCUCUUAGCGAUAUGAAGCUCCGACGACGUUCUUGGACCGCCCCGAGGCACUGGUUUCGGUCAGCUUGUCGUCCAUAAACUUGAUAUCAAUACUAGCGGCGAUCCAUUCUUGAAGUUCACGGAUAAACGUUACGUGUUU